rfam:Triticum aestivum genome assembly, contig: Triticum_aestivum_CS42_TGACv1_scaffold_628784_7DS
CAACUACUCCCUCUGUCCCAAAUUUCUUGUCUUAGAUUUGUCUAGAUACGGAUGUAUCUAAUACUAAAAUGUGACUUGAUACAUCCGUAUCUAGACAAAUCUAAGACAGGAAUUUUGGGGCGGAGGGAGUACUUU